AUGAUAGGUUUUGAAAAAGAUUUUUCAUGUCAUUCCCAUUUAGGUUUGAUUCGGAUCCCUUUUUUGUUUCCCUUUCCUCCCGAACCUUUUCCUCGAAAUGAUAAAGAAUCUGGUACACUCGAAUUGUAUUAUAUAAGUGCUUAUUGCUUGCCAAAAAUCCUACUUCUACAAUUGGUAGGUCACCGGGUUAUUCAAAUAAGUCGUGUUUUCUGUGCUUUUCCCAUGUUACAACUUCCGUACCAAUUCGAUCGAUCCGGAAUGGAUCAGUUAAACAUUCUAUUAGGGAGCCCGGUCUUGACUCUUCUGUGUGGUAUUCAUUCUCGUUCGGCUCUUGGAAUCACAUCCAGCAGUGGUUGGAACAGCUCGCAAAAUCCAACCACUUCACCUACUUUAUUGCCCCCAACCGUUUCCCAUACCUCUAUAGAAACAGAAGGGUUUCAUGUUCUUUCAUCGAUUGGGUAUUCCUCUCCUUUUGUAUCUCUUUAUCCAAUUUCGGUCUCGAUUAGUUCACAAGAUUGA
rnacentral:rRNA from 1 species